GAAAGUGGAAUUCCUAGUGUAGCGGUGAAAUGCGUAGAGAUUAGGAAGAACACCAGUGGCGAAGGCGACUUUCUGGACUGUAACUGACACUGAGAUACGAAAGCGUGGGUAGCAAACAGGAUUAGAUCCCCUGGUAGCCCACGCCGUAAACGAUGAAUACUAGGUGUCGGGGGGUACCACCCUCGGUGCCGCAGCAAACGCAUUAAGUAUUCCGCCUGGGGAGUACGGUCGCAAGAUUAAAACUCAAAGGAAUUGACGGGGACCCGCACAAGCAGCGGAGCAUGUGGUUUAAUUCGAAGCAACGCGAAGAACCUUACCUAGACUUGACAUCUCCUGAAUUACUCUUAAUCGAGGAAGUCCCUUCGGGGACAGGAAGACAGGUGGUGCAUGGUUGUCGUCAGCUCGUGUCGUGAGAUGUUGGGUUAAGUCCCGCAACGAGCGCAACCCUUAUUGUUAGUUGCUACUAUUAAGUUAAGCACUCUAACGAGACUGCCGCGGUUAACGUGGAGGAAGGUGGGGAUGACGUCAAAUCAUCAUGCCCCUUAUGUCUAGGGCUACACACGUGCUACAAUGGCUGGUACAACGAGCAGCAAACCCG
rnacentral:rRNA from 1 species